rnacentral:snRNA from 2 species
AUACCUUUCUCGGCCUUUUGGCUAAGAUCAAGUGUAGUAUCUGUUUUUAUCAGUUUAAUAUCUGAUAUGUGGGCCAUGUGCUCACAACGAUAUUAAAUUUAUUUUUUGUGGGGAGGGUCCACCACAGUGGCUUGCCACUGGGGCCCUCAUGUGUCGCCCGGGCGUUGCACUGCUGCCCGGGCCCGGCGCGCCCCAA